CUGUUCACUCGCCUACCUCACAAAAAUCACACCCUAAAUCACCCAAAUCCAUGGCGAGUGAACCCAAUCUCCAACCACGCGUUCCCUCCCUCUCUCCUCUUGCCAUUUCUAACGGUUUCUGACAGAUUCCCUCUCCCUCACAUGCCCUCUCUUUGUUUUCUCGGAUUUUUACUCUUUUAGAUGGAAAUUAGGAAAAAUGGGAGGCGUAGGAUUGAGUGAAAUUGGAUCUACUCCCUCCAUUUGUCCGUUUUAUCCAUCAAAAAGGGGUAAAAAUCAGAUUCGGAUUUGGAGGAUUUUUGGGAGAUUUCUUGGGAAGGAAGCAUAGAAGCUUCGAGAUCUUUUGAGGUAUAUAUAUAAGGUGAGGUCAUUUCUUGUGAGGGGGGAGGGGAAGAAGAUUUUCAGAGGGAUUUUCGGUUUUGGAGAGAUUUCUAUUAAAGAAAAUUUAAAGGAGGAAAAUCAGGGUUCAAGUUUUUCUUCUUCUUUUCCUUUCGUUCUUUUCCUUUUUCAGAUAUUAGAACAGAAAAAACAUAUGAUGGAAGUUUCAUGAUUUCACUGGAUAUCAGCUUUAAUUAGCAUUUCGAAAUAAUAGAGUUUUUCUACUUCAAUUCUGGUUUUUGGAUGAACAAUGGAAUUCGUCGAGAAGUGUGAAUCUGUUGCUGUUUACUGAGCUAUAGCUGUUCUCUCUUGGUUCUGUGGUGGUUUCAUUCCUCAGAAAUCAGAGAUUUAUUUUCUUUUUCCCUUUGCUUUGUUGCUCUCAAGGAAAUCAAGUUCAAGAAGUAAAGAAGACUGCUCGAAUGGUUCAUGAUGUAUAAGGGAAGAAAUCAAUCAGCAUGUGAUCAGCAAAUCUGGAUUGGUCUCGUAAAUCUGGGCGCAAUCUAAUCAACGAAUCAAUCAGCAAUAACAAUAAUUAGCUGAGCUGGAAAAAAAUCAAAUAAGCCUUGGACAAAGGCACGAAUCAUGGGCAGAAUCACGGAAGACUAAAGGAUACGAGGAGAUCUGGGAAGCGACCACAUUUGGAAGAUCCAACAAUCAAGGAGAAAUCAAGUGAAGCAAUCCUCUGCUAAAGGAAAGCAAUCAAGAGAAGCAACGGCUCAUUCCUUAUUCUUGGAAAGAAUCAAUUCUUUCCAAGGAUCAAAUCUCUUGGGUUGUCAAGCCUCUACCAUCCAUCAAAGUAUUUAUACACCCUUGUAAACCCUAGCUAAGACAUACUUUGAUCAAACCAAAUCACUCUCUUUAUUCUACUGCAAACAAGCAUUGUAGUUCACUAAGAUCUGUUGUGUAACAAGUCAGGGAUAGAAAGAGAGCACACAACUGGUGAGGCAUUGUAUCAAAAAUGAGUGCUGGAGAAACUGAGCGAUAUACACCACAUUUGUACUCGGAAGAAACUCAUUUACUGAAGAGAACUCCCUUGCAACCCAAGGGGACUGGAUUAGGAUUCACAUUGAAUUCGAACCAUUAUAAAAA